rnacentral:rRNA from 1 species
GAAGGGGGCGAGCGUUGUUCGGAUUUACUGGGCGUAAAGGGCGCGUAGGCGGCCAUCUUUGUCAGGCGUGAAAGCCCCGGGCUCAACCUGGGAACUGCGUCUGGGACGGGGCGGCUAGAGAUCGGGAGAGGAGCGUGGAAUUCCCAGUGUAGAGGUGAAAUUCGUAGAUAUUGGGAAGAACACCGGUGGCGAAGGCGGCGCUCUGGACCGAUACUGACGCUGAGGCGCGAAAGCGUGGGGAGCAAACAGGAUUAGAUACCCUGGUAGUCCACGCUGUAAACGAUGUGUGCUAGACGUUGGGGAGCCUAGCUCUUCGGUGUCGCAGCUAACGCGGUAAGCACACCGCCUGGGGAGUACGGCCGCAAGGUUA